rnacentral:rRNA from 1 species
UAGGGAAUCUUCCGCAAUGGACGCAAGUCUGACGUAGCAACGCCGCGUGAGUGAAGAAGGAUUUCGGUUCGUAAAACUCUGUUGUUAGAGAAGAACAGCGCAUAGAGUAACUGUUAUGCGUGUGACGGUAUCUAACCAGAAAGCCACGGCUAACUACGUGCCAGCAGCCGCGGUAAUACGUAGGUGGCAAGCGUUGUCCGGAUUUAUUGGGCGUAAAGCGCGCGAAGGCGGUCAAUUAAGUCUGAUGUGAAAGCCCCCGGCUCAACCGGGGAGGGUCAUUGGAAACUGGGUGACUUGAGUGCAGAAGAGGAGAGUGGAAUUCCAUGUGUAGCGGUGAAAUGCGUAGAUAUAUGGGGGAACACCAGUGGCGAAGGCGACUCUCUGGUCUGUAACUGACGCUGAGGUUCGAAAGCGUGGGUAGCAAACAGG